rnacentral:sRNA from 1 species
UGUGUGCAAUGCAGAGAAAUUUUCAUGUUAGUCUGACAGCUUGUGACUCGUGAAAUGUCUUGUUUAAAAUAAGAUUCACACAGCUCUUUCCGAAAUUCAUGCAUAUGAAGUCGAUUUAUAUUAAGAUGGACAAAUUUACUGAUCGAGGAAGAGGGGAACACUUUUAAGACUUGAUAUAGAUGAAGAUACAUCAUUCUAAAUCAAAAUUAUUAUUCCAGCAUUUGCAUGGCCUUUAUAAUGUAUUUUAAAAUAUCUAGUGCUAGUUAUUGAAUUAUAAAAACUACAGACUCAAAUUCAAGAUUUAGAGAUUUACUGAUUAGAAGCUGACAUAGACAUUUUUUUAACUGAACAAUACAAAAACAGGGUUUUUUCUUGACUUUUAUUAGAAGUAAAAUGUUAAUAUUUAACACAUCUACUAGCAUUUAAAAUGAGAUUGAAAAUCAAGCCAUUGACAAAAAAUAAACCUACCUAUAUUACAACAAUCUGGUUAGAAAUUUCUUUCAGUUGUUUGAUAGAUACAGGGUAUUGCUGUAUUCAGUCUGAUUAAAACCACCACCACCCUUCUCACUUAUCAUACUCGUCAAGAUCUGGCCCUGACCAGGGGGGUGGUUUAAAUCAGACUUUGCUGUAUUUUACUGUUAUCAGUCAAUGGUUCUUUAUUUUGUAAGUUAUAUCUGUUACUAUGAAACAUUCCUAAAUUCAUUUUCUAUAUAUACAUGCAUUUAAGUAUAUUUUUAAAAGUUAAUUUUGAAUUCUUUAGUAAGCAUUGUAUGCUUGAUUUUAUUUUUGGAUGUACUUAUUAUUCUCCAGGUUUUUUAAUUUACCAGUGAACCGUAUUAUACUUUGAUGAAAAUUUUCUAGUGUGAAUUUUUUGUUCUGAACUUCCAAAAUUAUCAUCUGACAUCAUUUACAAUAUAUGUACUCUAUGAUGCUCUAUGAUCAGGGGUAUUAACACAUCACCAAAGUAAAUGUUUUGUUUCAUAUACUAUAUACAGUAGAAUUUAUCUCUCAUUAUUGAUCACAAUCAAAAAAAAUAUAUCAUGUGUACAAUUUGAUACAAAAAGGAAAAUAAUUAAAACAUUUAUUGAC